rnacentral:rRNA from 1 species
GACAGAGGAUGCAAGCGUUAUCCGGAAUGAUUGGGCGUAAAGCGUCUGUAGGUGGCUUUUUAAGUCUGCCGUCAAAUCCCAGGGCUUAACCCUGGACAGGCGGUGGAAACUACCAAGCUGGAGUACGGUAGGGGCAGAGGGAAUUUCCGGUGGAGCGGUGAAAUGCGCAGAUAUCAGGAGGAACACCAGCGGCGAAGGCGCUGCUCUGGGCCGGUACUGACGCUGAGGAGCGAAAGCGUGGGGAGCGAACAGG